rnacentral:snRNA from 1 species
AUACUUACCUGGCAGGGGUGACACCAUGGUCAGGAAGGGUGGUUUUCCCAGGGUGAUCCUUGUUCAUUGCCCUCCCAGAUAUGCAAACCCCUGCAAUUCCCCCUCAAGUGGGAAACUUGACUGCAUACUUUGUGGGAGUGUGAGACUGCAUUUCCACUAUCCCCUA